UACAGAGGUCUCAAGCGUUGUUCGGAUUCAUUGGGCGUAAAGGGUGCGUAGGCGGCGCGGUAAGUCGGGUGUGAAAUCUCGGAGCUUAACUCCGAAACUGCAUUCGAUACUGCCGUGCUUGAGGACUGGAGAGGAGACUGGAAUUUACGGUGUAGCGGUGAAAUGCGUAGAUAUCGGAAGGAACAUCAGUGGCGAAAGCGACUUCCUGGACCAGUACCGACGUUCAGGCACGAAAGCGUGGGGAGCAAACGGG
rnacentral:rRNA from 1 species